rnacentral:rRNA from 1 species
UACGUAGGGUGCGAGCGUUUGUCCGGAAUUAUUGGGCGUAAAGAGCUCGUAGGCGGUGUGUCACGUCGGCCGUGAAAACCUGCAGCUUAACUGUGGGCGUGCGGUCGAUACGGGCAUCACUGGAGUUCGGCAGGGGAGACUGGAAUUCCUGGUGUAGCGGUGAAAUGCGCAGAUAUCAGGAGGAACACCGGUGGCGAAGGCGGGUCUCUGGGCCGAUACUGACGCUGAGGAGCGAAAGCGUGGGGAGCGAACGGG